rnacentral:rRNA from 1 species
UGGGGAAUUUUGGACAAUGGGCGAAAGCCUGAUCCAGCAAUGCCGCGUGUGUGAAGAAGGCCUUCGGGUUGUAAAGCACUUUUGUCCGGAAAGAAAUCCUUGGCUCUAAUACAGUCGGGGGAUGACGGUACCGGAAGAAUAAGCACCGGCUAACUACGUGCCAGCAGCCGCGGUAAUACGUAGGGUGCAAGCGUUAAUCGGAAUUACUGGGCGUAAAGCGUGCGCAGGCGGUUUGCUAAGACCGAUGUGAAAUCCCCGGGCUCAACCUGGGAACUGCAUUGGUGACUGGCAGGCUAGAGUAUGGCAGAGGGGGGUAGAAUUCCACGUGUAGCAGAUGAAGUGCGUAGGAGAUGGUGGAGGAAUACCGAUGGCGAAGGCCAGCCCCCAUGGGCCAAUACUGACGCUCAUGCACGAAAGCGUGGGGAGCAAACAGGAUUAGAUACCCUGGUAGUCCACGCCCUAAACGAUGUCAACUAGUUGUUGGGGAUUCAUUUCCUUAGUAACGUAGCUAACGCGUGAAGUUGACCGCCUGGGGAGUACGGUCGCAAGAUUAAAACUCAAAUGAAUUGACGGGGUCAUA